rnacentral:lncRNA from 1 species
UUAAAACAGCCCAAAAAACACCAUCUUAAUGGGGCUUUAAAAAAAACCAAAAAGGGCCCAGAAUUAGGGCUUGAUAGAGAGUAGAGACUGAGAAGAGGAGAGAAAGAAAAACCAAAGAAGAAGAAAGAAAAAGAAGAGUGGAAAAAGAGAGGUGCAUAUCUAGUGGUGGCUUGGGAUGGGGUGGAGAAGAAGUUUCGAAAGAGAUUAGCUAUGUAGAAGAGGCAAUAUAUUUCUAAAGGAGGGAGACUCACUCUCAUUCAGAGCACUUUGUCCAGUAUGCCUGUUUACUGCAUGCCUAUUUUGCGUAUACCUAGAUCGGUUAGAUUGAGACUCGAGCAAAUCCAAAGGGAUUUCCUUUGGGGUGGGGGGGCUUUGGAGUGGAAGACUCACCUUGUCAAAUGGGCAGUUGUAUGCUUAGAUAAAAGUAAGGGUAGAUUGGGUGCUAGAUGCCUCUCUACACUUAAUAGAGCCCUCUUGUGUAAAUGGAGUUGGCACUUUAUGGAAGAAAGGGAAGCUCUUUGGAAACAAGUUUAGUUGGAAGUAUGGAGUAAAAGAUGGGGGGUGAUAUACCCGCGAAGGAAGAGAGGGAUUUGGAGUGGGGUUGUGGAAGGAGAUUAGGAAGGAAGGUUCAUUGUUGAGCAACAAUAUUGUAUUUUCCGUGGGUAAUGGUAGAAGAGUUAAAUUUUGAAGGAUUCAUGGUGUGGUGAUGAGGCUUUUUGUAACUCUUUUCCCUCUUUGUAUGCUUUGGUGGUUUCGAAAGAAGAGUGGGUGGUGGAGGUUUGAGGCCCUUCCGUUGAGGAGAGGAGUUGGAGUCCUCAUUUUUCUAGGGCUUUCAACGAUUGGGAGGUAGUCUUGGUGGAAUGGUUGCUAAUGACAAUUCAAGGGAAGGGGGUUAGCGCAGAAUUGGAGGAUAGGGUGUUAUGGAAAAAAGACAAAAAAUGGGAUUUUUUUCGGUUAAGUCCCUUUAUAGUGCAUUAGAGCCAGGAAAUGCAGUCCGGUUUCCGAGGAACAUCAUUUGGAGUCCUUAUGUUCCUCCCAAAGUGGGUUUUUUUGCUUGGGAAGCCUCAUGGGGAAAGUUUUAACAUUGGAUCAGCUAAAAAAGAGGGGUUGGACCCUAGCUAAUAGAUGUUUCUUUUGUCUCACCAAAAAGGAGUCUACUAAUCACAUUUUAAUCUACUGUAUGAAGACUAGAGUUUUAUGAGAGUUAUUAUUUGCUCUUUUUGGUGUGACUUGGAUUCUCCCUUCAUUGAUAAGGGAGACUCUCCUUCGUUGGUAUGGGUCCUUUGUGGCAAGAAGCACAAAAAAACUUGGAAGCUGGCUCUUUUAUGUUUUUUUUGGAUAGUGUGGAAGGAAAGAAAUAGAAUAACUUUUGACAAUGAAGAGUUUUCGGUUCAUAUGUUGAAGAAUUCUUUUGUAUUUAGUUUUUGGUCUUGGACAAAGUUGUAUAUAGAUGUUAGACCUUUACCUUUAAUUGAAUUUUUUUAUUGGUUGGGUUCUAGGUGAGGGUGGGUGAGGUUUUUUGUAUCCCG